GGGAGUUGGGGCGCUGGGGCAACGGCUGGCGGGAAGCCGACAAAUGGAGCGGGAGACUCAGGCUGUCCGAGCUCCAGGAGAUGAACUUGGGAUGCUCUGUUUCUCUGAGUCUUCAUAUUCUCAUCUUAUCCAGAAAGUCUCCUCUGACCUCCCCCCGCCAUCAGCUGUGUUAGCUUGGGCUUCAUGAAACAGACUUCCAGAAAGGAGUUUAUUUGGAAAUCAUCCCAGGAAACAUUUGUGUGGAAGGAGUGAAGACAGGAAAGCAAAAGCUGCCAAUAAAAGGGAAUAGGAAGACCUGAGAAGAAGGAGCAAGUUGGGGGAACAGCAGAUAAGGAAAUGCCGAAGCAAGAAGAUGAACCACAGUACAGUAUUCACUAACCCAUGUGCCCGCUUCCAUCUAUAGAACCUGGGAUCCAAGGGAGACCCAUCCCAGCAGGGUUCAUGUGAAGGUUAGAUAAGAAAAUGUGUUUGAA